UACGGAGGGGGCUAGCGUUGUUCGGAAUUACUGGGCGUAAAGCGCGCGUAGGCGGCCAUUUAAGUCAGAGGUGAAAGCCCGGUGCUCAACAUCGGAAUAGCCUUUGAGACUGGGUGGCUAGAAUCCAGGAGAGGUGAGUGGAAUUCCGAGUGUAGAGGUGAAAUUCGUAGAUAUUCGGAAGAACACCAGUGGCGAAGGCGGCUCACUGGACUGGUAUUGACGCUGAGGAGCGAAAGCUAGGGGAGCAAACGGG
rnacentral:rRNA from 1 species